rnacentral:rRNA from 1 species
GACGAACGCUGGCGGCGUGCCUAAUACAUGCAAGUCGAGCGGACUUUCAAGAAGCUUGCUUUUUGAAAGUUAGCGGCGGACGGGUGAGUAACACGUGGGCAACCUGCCUGCAAGACGGGGAUAACUCCGGGAAACCGGGGCUAAUACCGGAUAAUAUCUUCCUUCGCAUGAAGGAAGGUUGAAAGGCGGCGCAAGCUGCCGCUUGCAGAUGGGCCCGCGGCGCAUUAGCUAGUUGGUGAGGUAACGGCUCACCAAGGCGACGAUGCGUAGCCGACCUGGGAGGGUGAUCGGCCACACUGGGACUGAGACACGGCCCAGACUCCUACGGGAGGCAGCAGUAGGGAAUCUUCCGCAAUGGACGAAAGUCUGACGGAGCAACGCCGCGUGAGCGAAGAAGGUCUUCGGAUCGUAAAGCUCUGUUGUCAGGGAAGAACAAGUACCGUUCGAACAGGGCGGUACCUUGACGGUACCUGACCAGAAAGCCACGGCUAACUACGUG